rnacentral:rRNA from 1 species
UACGAAGGGAGCUAGCGUUGUUCGGAAUCACUGGGCGUAAAGCGCACGUAGGCGGAUGUGUCAGUCAGGGGUGAAAUCCCGGAGCUCAACUUCGGAACUGCCCUUGAUACAGCACGUCUUGAGUCCGGAAGAGGUGGGUGGAAUUCCUAGUGUAGAGGUGAAAUUCGUAGAUAUUAGGAAGAACACCGGUGGCGAAGGCGGCCCACUGGUCCGGUACUGACGCUGAGGCGCGACAGCGUGGGGAGCAAACAGG